CUACGGGCUGCUCCAGUGGGGAAUAUUGGACAAUGGGGGAAACCCUGAUCCAGCAAUGCCGCGUGAGGGAAGAAGGCCUUCGGGUUGUAAAUCUCUUUUAAGGAGGAAGAUGAUGACGGUACUCCUUGAAUAAGCCCCGGCUAACUUCGUGCCAGCAGCCGCGGUAAUACGAAGGGGGCGAGCGUUGUUCGGAAUGACUGGGCGUAAAGGGCGUGUAGGCGGUUUAAUAAGUUUCUUGUGAAAGACCUGGGCUUAACUCAGGAUGUGCAAGGGAUACUGUUGAACUAGAGUCUGGAAGGGGAGAAUGGAAUUGCGCGUGGAGAGGUGAAAUUCGUAGAGAUGCGCAGGAAUACCGGUGGCGAAGGCGAUUCUCUGGGACAAGACUGACGCUGAGGCGCGAAAGCGUGGGGAGCAAACAGGAUUAGAUACCCCCGUAGUC
rnacentral:rRNA from 1 species